CGGGACGGGUGAGUAAUGUAUGGGGAUCUGCCUGAUGGCGGGGGAUAACUACUGGAAACGGUAGCUAAUACCGCAUAAUGUCUACGGACCAAAGCGGGGGACCUCCGGGCCUCGCGCCAUCAGAUGAACCCAUAUGGGAUUAGCUAGUAGGUGAGGUAACGGCUUACCUAGGCGACGAUCCCUAGCUGGUCUGAGAGGAUGACCAGCCACACUGGAACUGAGACACGGUCCAG
rnacentral:rRNA from 1 species